UAACAACGAGAAUUCUGAGAAAAGCUACAAAAUUUCUACAAUUUCAGUUGCUAUGUUUCUGAUCCUCCAACACUACAAAUCCUAAAAACAUCUAAACUUAAUAUAGGGAAUACAAUCUUUUCACCCCAUUAAUGAUAGUAAUAUCUGUUGUGCACCUACUGCAGUUAGUAGGCUUCUUCAAGGUUGCUUCCUUUUUCACGUUGAUUGAAUGCACUGUUGGAGCUAAUAGUUAAAAUGGUCUUGGUAAUGCACAUAGUCAAGUAAUGAAUUAGUUUCUUUGAAACAUGAAGCUAGUUUAUUGAAAUAGGAAGCUGCACAUUGUCAAGUUCGGAAUAACGUGUUAGAAAUUACCAAAACCACCUCAGGGGAAUCAUAUAUAUGUAGGUUGUGAUUGAUCAGGGGAAUCAUCCCAGACGUCCUUUUGUUGGGGACGCCAUAUUCAUGCCUGCAGGUAUAGACAAUCAGUUUGACAAUCCCUCACAGUAGACGAGGUUUGCAUUCAGCGAAGGAUCGGUAAGACUCCACCUCAUUCGGAGUGCAGCCAAGUCUAUGAAUCAUCAUAUCAGAGUUUUUGCUUCAAACUUAUAGGUAGGCUGGUACCCUGUCCCAUUUGAUGUCAAAUAAUCUUAGAGGCUUUGUUGACAAAGGUUCAGUUUGUACAGUAUGUCAGAGGCCUUGACGGCCCAUAUAUAUUCAUGUUUUAAGAAAAAUAGUUCAGCGAUACAGUAUUUUCCACUUACAAUUUUA